GACGAACGCUGGCGGCGUGCCUAAUACAUGCAAGUAGAACGCUGAAGAGAGGAGCUUGCUCUUCUUGGAUGAGUUGCGAACGGGUGAGUAACGCGUAGGUAACCUGCCUUGUAGCGGGGGAUAACUAUUGGAAACGAUAGCUAAUACCGCAUAACAAUGGAUGCCACAUGUCAUUUAUUUGAAAGGGGCAAUUGCUCUACUACAAGAUGGACCUGCGUUGUAUUAGCUAGUAGGUGAGGUAACGGCUCACCUAGGCGACGGUACAUAGCCGGCCUGAGAGGAUGAUCAGCCACACUGGGACUGAGACACGGCCCAGACUCCUACGGGAAGCAGCAAGAGGGAAUCUUUGGCAAUGGGGGGAAACCUGGCCGAGCAAAGCCGCGUGAGUGAAGAAGGUUUUCGGAUUGUAAAGCUCUGUUGCAUGUCAAGAAAGAGUGGGAGAGUAAAAAGUUCACACUGUGACGGUAGCUAACCAGAAAGGGACGGCUAACUACGUG
rnacentral:rRNA from 1 species